rnacentral:rRNA from 1 species
UACACGACCGUACCGCAAACCGACACUGGUGCGCGAGAUGAGUAUUCUAAGGCGCUUGAGAGAACUCAGGAGAAGGAACUCGGCAAAUUGACACCGUAACUUCGGAAGAAGGUGUGCCUUUAGUAGGUGAACCAUUUACUUGGGGAGCCCAAUGAGGCUGCAAAAAAUCGGUGGCUGCAACUGUUUAUUAAAAACACAGCACUCUGCUAAGACGAAAGUCGACGUAUAGGGUGUGACGCCUGCCCGGUGCUGGAAGAUUAAAUGAUGGGGUGCAAGCUCUUGAUUGAAGUCCCAGUAAACGGCGGCCGUAACAAUAACGGUCCUAAGGUAGCGAAAUUCCUUGUCGGGUAAGUUCCGACCUGCACGAGUGGCGUAAUGAUGGCCACACUGUCUCCUCCUGAGACUCAGCGAAGUUGAAAUGUUUGUGAUGAUGCAAUCUCCCCGCGGAAAGACGGAAAGACCCCAUGAACCUUUACUGUAGCUUUGUAUUGGACUUUGAACAGAUCUGUGUAGGACAGGUGGGAGGCUUUGAAGUGUGGUCGCUAGAUCGCAUGGAGCCAACGUUGAAAUACCACCCUGGUGUGUUUGAGGUUCUAACCUAGGUCCAUUAUCUGGAUCGGGGACAGUGCAUGGUAGGCAGUUUGACUGGGGCGGUCUCCUCCCAAAGUGUAACGGAGGAGUUCGAAGGUACGCUAGGUACGGUCGGACAUCGUGCUAAUAGUGCAAUGGCAUAAGCGUGCUUAACUGCGAGACUGACAAGUCGAGCAGAUGCGAAAGCAGGACAUAGUGAUCCGGUGGUUCUGUAUGGAAGGGCCAUCGCUCAACGGAUAAAAGGUACUCUGGGGAUAACAGGCUGAUACCGCCCAAGAGUUCAUAUCGACGGCGGUGUUUGGCACCUCGAUGUCGGCUCAUCUCAUCCUGGGGCUGUAGCCGGUCCCAAGGGUAUGGCUGUUCGCCAUUUAAAGAGGUACGUGAGCUGGGUUUAAAACGUCGUGAGACAGUUUGGUCCCUAUCUUCCGUGGGCGCUGCAGAUUUGAGGAAGCCUGCUCCUAGUACGAGAGGACCGGAGUGGACGAACCUCUGGUGUAUCGGUUGUCACGCCAGUGGCAUUGCCGAGUAGCUAAGUUCGGAAGAGAUAACCGCUGAAAGCAUCUAAGCGGGAAACUCGUUUCAAGAUUAGAUCUGCCGGGGCCUUGAGCCCCCUAAAGAGUCGUUCAAGACCAGGACGUUGAUAGGUCAGGUGUGGAAGC